AUUGAACGCUGGCGGCAUGCUUUACACAUGCAAGUCGAACGGUAACAGGCCUUCGGGUGCUGACGAGUGGCGAACGGGUGAGUAAUGCAUCGGAACGUGCCCAGAGGUGGGGGAUAACGCAGCUAAAGCUGUGCUAAUACCGCAUGUGAUCUGAGGAUGAAAGCGGGGGACCAGGCAGCAAUGUUUGGCCUCGCGCCUUUGGACCGGCCGAUGUCAGAUUAGGUAGUUGGUGGGGUAAAGGCCUACCAAGCCGACGAGCUGUAGCUGGUCUGAGAGGACGACCAGCCACACUGGGACUGAGACACGGCCCAGACUCCUGCGGGAGGCAGCAGUGGGGAAUUUUGGACAAUGGGCGCAAGCCUGAUCCAGCAAUGCCGCGUGCGGGAAGAAGGCCUUCGGGUUGUAAAACGCUUUUGUACGGAACGAAAAGGAUCUGGCUAAUACCUGGGGCUGAUGACGGUACCGUAAGAAUAAGCACCGGCUAACUACGUG
rnacentral:rRNA from 1 species